rnacentral:misc_RNA from 1 species
GAUGAAGAACGCAGCGAAGUGCGAUAAGUAAUGUGAAUUGCAGAAUUCCGUGAAUCAUCGAAUCUUUGAACGCAAAUUGCACUUUCUGGUAUUCCGGAGAGUAUGCCUGUUUGAGGGUCAGUGUAAUAAAUAAAUCGUGGUUGUUACCACCUUUCGUGGUGACGCUUCGGAAUUGAGUCGUCUUACCUUCGGUUAAGUGACUUAAAAUUUUUUCAUACGAUUUCGAAACGUAUUUAAUGUAUUAUGUUGUACGUUUACGAAUAUCGAAUGUUUUUAUUAGGAGCGUUCAUUUUCAUGAAUCGUGUCUAUAAUUUUUUUUUUUGACCUCAAAUCAGGUAAGAAUACCCGCUGAACUUAAGCAUAUCAAUAAGCGGAGGA